rnacentral:rRNA from 1 species
UUCCGGUUGAUCCCGCCGGACCUGACUGCUAUCGGAUUGAUACUAAGCCAUGCGAGUCAUUGUAGUAAUACAAGGCAGACGGCUCAGUAACGCGUAGUCAACCUACCCUAUGGACGGGGAUAACCUCGGGAAACUGAGAAUAAUACCCGAUAGAACAUUAUGCCUGGAAUGGUUUAUGUUUCAAAUAAUUUAUUGCCGUAGGAUGGGACUGCGGCCUAUCAGUUUGUUGGUGAGGUAAUGGCCCACCAAGACUAUUACAGGUACGGGCUCUGAGAGGAGUAGCCCGGAGAUGGGUACUGAGACACGGACCCAGGCCCUAUGGGGCGCAGCAGGCGAGAAAACUUUGCAAUGUGCGAAAGCACGACAAGGUUAAUCCGAGUGGUUUCUGCUAAAGGAACCUUUUGUCAGUCCUAGAAACACCGAUGAAUAAGGGGUGGGCAAGUUCUGGUGUCAGCCGCCGCGGUAAAACCAGCACCUCAAGUGGUCAGGAUGAUUAUUGGGCCUAAAGCAUCCGUAGCCGGCUCUGUUAGUUUUCGGUUAAAUCUGUACGCUCAACGUACAGGCUGCCGGGAAUACUGCAGAGCUAGGGAGUGGGAGAGGUAGACGGUACUCGGUAGGAAGGGGUAAAAUCCUUUGAUCUAUUGAUGACCACCUGUGGCGAAGGCGGUCUACCAGAACACGUCCGACGGUGAGGGAUGAAGCUGGGGGAGCAAACCGGAUUAGAUACCCGGGUAGUCCCAGCUGUAAACUAUGCAAACUCAGUGAUGCAUUGGCUUGAUGCCAAUGCAGUGCUGCAGGGAAGCCGUUAAGUUUGCCGCCUGGGAAGUACGUACGCAAGUAUGAAACUUAAAGGAAUUGGCGGGGGAGCACCACAAGGGGUGAAGCCUGCGGUUCAAUUGGGAUUCAACGCCGGA